UUGACCUCGAAUCAGGUGGGACUACCCGCUGAACUUAAGCAUAUCAAUAAGCGGAGGAAAAGAAACUAACAAGAAGUUUCCUGGAUACGGAACAUCAUAGAGGGUGAGAAUCCCGUCCUUGACACAGACUCCCAGUGCUUUGUGAUGCGCUCUCGACGAGUCGAGUUGUUUGGGAUUGCAGCU
rnacentral:rRNA from 1 species